rnacentral:rRNA from 1 species
CCUACGGGUGGCUGCAGUGAGGAAUAUUGGUCAAUGGACGAGAGUCUGAACCAGCCAAGUAGCGUGAAGGAUGACUGCACUAUGGGUUGUAAACUUCUUUUAUAUGGGAAUAAAACGUUCCACGUGUGGGAUUUUGUAUGUACCAUAUGAAUAAGGAUCGGCUAACUACGUGCCAGCAGCAGCGGUAAUACGGAGGAUCCGAGCGUUAUCCGGAUUUAUUGGGUUUAAAGGGAGCGUAGGUGGAUUGUUAAGUCAGUUGUGAAAGUUUGCGGCUCAACCGUAAAAUUGCAGUUGAAACUGGCAGUCUUGAGUACAGUAGAGGUGGGCGGAAUUCGUGGUGUAGCGGUGAAAUGCUUAGAUAUCACGAAGAACUCCGAUUGCGAAGGCAGUUCACUGGACUGCAACUGACACUGAGGCUCGAAAGUGUGGGUAUCAAACAGGAUUAGAUACCCGAGUAGUC